ACAAACACAGGGAAGAGGAGUAGUAAAACCUUUGGAUGUUUUCAGAGAGUCUGCGGCUGGUGCGAGCAGAUAACGGAAGAAUGUUUGAACUGGCCUCGGAGUGGUUCGCUGAACUGAGAGCAAGUAGGCGCAACCGGCGAGUCGGCCGUUAUACCGACAGGAUAUUGGUUCUUACAGCCUGUAUCUGGGAAAGUGUAUUCCUUUUCGGGAAUAAAAAAGAGUGGUACCGCGGAGAUUUCUGGUCUUUCGUCUCUUAA
rnacentral:ncRNA from 1 species